rnacentral:rRNA from 1 species
GGAUUGAACGCUGGCGGCAUGCCUUACACAUGCAAGUCGAACGGCAGCACGGGAGCAAUCCUGGUGGCGAGUGGCGAACGGGUGAGUAAUAUAUCGGAACGUGCCCAGUCGUGGGGGAUAACGCAGUGAAAGCUGUGCUAAUACCGCAUACGAUCUAUGGAUGAAAGCGGGGGACUCGCAAGAGCCUCGCGCGAUUGGAGCGGCCGAUAUCAGAUUAGCUAGUUGGUGGGGUAAAAGCCCACCGAAGGCGACGAUCUGUAGCUGGUCUGAGAGGACGACCAGCCACACUGGAACUGAGACACGGUCCAGACUCCUACGGGAGCAGCAGUGGGGGAAUUUGGACAAGU